UCAUCAAAAGCAUCCACUUAGCCUUUGGUUUUGUUGUAGAAAGUUUCUGUCUCAGGCUUCGGUUUUGUUGAAGUUUCCCUAUCAGUAUUUCUGUCAUGAUGCAGUGUUGACAUCAGCAGUACCAGUGUGUUUUUCUUUACCAUACAGGAGGCCAAUGUUACAUUUUUUGAAACCCUAAGAUUGUAGCAUACAAUUCCUUGUCUUUAAUUUGCAACAUUUCAUUUGGAAUUUCUGCUUUGUUUCCACAUACAGUUCCUGCACUGGCCAACUUGUACUGUGUUAGCAAAUGUAGUAUCAACUGGAAACUGUUAAACCAAUUAUCAAAUGUCACAUUCCAAUUAGUUUGGGAGAUGGGAGCAACAAGUCUGUUCAUAACAUCAUUCAAUUUAUUACUACACAAAGAAGGACCCAAUAGCUGAGUUCCAGGACAAAUUUGUAAAUUGAAAGCAUAAUAAAUCUUUGCAUCUGCAAGGGCACAAAUUUUUAUGCCAUAUUUUGACCCAUUGCUCACCCGUAAGUCUUUCACAUUCCUGCAAUUACCAUGAGAGUACAGAAGACCCAUGAAUGUUUUCAUUUCCCCUAAUGUGGUGUCAUAAUAAAUACAUUUUUAAAUAUGGCUAUUGGUGCAUACAGAACAUUUUAUCUUUAUCUCAGCUUUUGUAUUUUCACAGCAUCUUGUAGCAUUUUGUCUGUCAUGAUUUCCAAUGUUGGAUGGUAGUACUGGCAUUCUGUCCAAUAUAUGACCACCCCGUCAAGACUCCCUCUAUAUUUUUGUACCUAGUUCUGACAUUGGAUUGUUCCAUUUGGUUGCAUGACUGUUUUGCAACAUUUCAACUAAAUAUUUCCUGACAUUGCUGUUUUCUUUGUUAUCUGAAUCAAGGAGGACUGCAUUUCCUGUGGCUGUAUCAGUCAAUUCUUGUUCCAUGUCACUAGCAUAGGAACUGUAGCUCACAUGGCCAACAUCAAAGGCAUCAUCAUCAUCAUCACAUCAUCAUUAUCAUCAUCACCUACCCACACCACUCUUUUGUUAUGAAACCAUGUAUUUAAUCACAAUGGACCGUCUUCAUCAUCCAUGCUUUUUAUCUCUUCUAUCCUGCCUCAACGAGAAUAUGGCUGAAGACACAAGCUGCUGUCACACUGAGAUUAGAUUAUAAAAUGGCUUUCUCUUUCCUCCUCCUUCUCCCCCUCUUCCUUUUUCUUCCAUCCUUACUUCUUCUCCCAUCAGGAGAGGGGGCUCCAUCUGGCCUCAGUUUUCUGUUAAAAAAAAAAAAAAUUAUAAAAUGACUGUGGCUCGUACCUUGAGUUCCCUCCCCACUCCGUGCUCCCCUCCCCCUCGGUGCUCCCCCCCUCCCCGUUUCCCUUGUCCUCCCUGCCCUCCCCUUCGUCUCAGCACUCACUGUAAGUGUGAGCUGCUAGGUUGUGAGGCAGCCCCGGGAGAGGGAAGCCAGCUGAGGAUACACACACGCAAGCAACCCAUGUGACAAAGAACUGAAACUUGCUGGCAACCACCUGAGUGGACCCAGAAGUAGAUGUCUGGAGGGCGUCUCAAGGUACAGGAGCACCUGGGAAGUGGGUCACCAUCUCAGGCCUUCUGAUGAGCACAGCCCAGCCAACAGCCUGACCGGAGUGUCCUCAAAGACCUGGAGCAAGAACCAGCCGAGCCAAACUACUGUUGAAUUCCUCACCCUUAAGGAACUGGGAAAUGAUAAAAGUCUGUUGCUCUAAGUUACGGAAUUUGAGGUCAUUUGCUAUAUGACACUAUAAUACAAUCACUUCCCCAAACUUAAAGGCUUUCGGAGAAGUUCAGUUAAGCUAUUCACAAAUGUUUGUCUUUUGUUUUAGUGGGAUUUUAUAUAAACCUGUCAAUGGAAGAUCUGCAUAACCAAUAUUAUCCAAAUAAUCAGUGCAUGAUGUUACAAAAUUAUGUAUUAGUAAAAAAGUCAUUUAAUAUGCAAAACAGACCAACAACUAUUAAUGUAAUAGAGUGUAAAAAGUUCAUUAAUAAGGCUUCCAAAUUGCAAUUAACUUUUAAGAAAUGAUCACUUGUUGAAUAAUGAUAAAGGAUCAAAGAAAAAUGUCCAUAGUUAUCUGGAAAAACUAUUAAAAUGCUUCUUUUGCAGCUACA